GACUAACGCUGGCGGCGUGCCUAACACAUGCAAGUCGAACGAAGCAGCAAUGCUUAGUGGCAGACGGGUGAGUAACGCGUAGAUAAUGUGCCCUCUUGCGGGGGAUACCGUUUCGAAAGGAACGUUAAUACCGCAUAAAGUCCUUAGGAGGCAUCUCUUAGGGACCAAACUUCCGGGGCGGGAGGAGCAAUCUGCGUACUAUCAGCUAGUUGGUGAGGUAAUGGCUCACCAAGGCUACGACGGUUAACUGGUCUGAGAGGAUGAUCAGUCACACUGGAACUGAGACACGGUCCAGACUCCUACGGGAGGCAGCAGUGAGGAAUAUUGCACAAUGGGCGAAAGCCUGAUGCAGCGACGCCGCGUGGAGGAUGAAGGAUUUCGGUCUGUAAACUCCUGUCAGUAGGGAAGAGAAUGGACGGUACCUACUGAGGAAGCUUCGGCUAACUACGUGCCAGCAGCCGCGGUAAU
rnacentral:rRNA from 1 species